rnacentral:rRNA from 1 species
UGGCUCAGAACGAACGCUGGCGGCAGGCCUAACACAUGCAAGUCGAACGCCGUAGCAAUACGGAGUGGCAGACGGGUGAGUAACGCGUGGGAACAUACCCCCCGGUUCGGAAUAACUCAGGGAAACUUGAGCUAAUACCGGAUACGUCCGAGGUUUAAUCGACCUUGGAGAAAGAUUUAUCGCCGGAGGAUUGGCCCGCGUCUGAUUAGCUUGUUGGUGAGGUAAUGGCUCACCAAGGCGACGAUCAGUAGCUGGUCUGAGAGGAUGAUCAGCCACAUUGGGACUGAGACACGGCCCAAACUCCUACGGGAGGCAGCAGUGGGGAAUAUUGGACAAUGGGCGAAAGCCUGAUCCAGCCAUGCCGCGUGAGUGAUGAAGGCCUUAGUGGUUGUAAAGCUCUUUUACCCGGGAAGUAUAAUUACGGUACCGGGAGAGAUAAGCCCCGGCUAAUUCAGUC